UGCAGUCGAGCGGAAAGGCCCUUCGGGGUACUCGAGCGGCGAACGGGUGAGUAACACGUGAGUAAUCUGCCCCAGGCUCUGGGAUAGCCACCGGAAACGGUGAUUAAUACCGGAUACGACAACCGAUUGCAUGAUCUGGUUGUGGAAAGUUUUUCGGCCUGGGAUGUGCUCGCGGCCUAUCAGCUUGUUGGUGAGGUAAUGGCUCACCAAGGCUUCGACGGGUAGCCGGCCUGAGAGGGUGACCGGCCACACUGGGACUGAGACACGGCCCAGACUCCUACGGGAGGCAGCAGUGGGGAAUAUUGGACAAUGGGCGGAAGCCUGAUCCAGCAACGCCGCGUGAGGGAUGACGGCCUUCGGGUUGUAAACCUCUUUCAGCACAGACGAAGCGCAAGUGACGGUAUGUGCAGAAGAAGGACCGGCCAACUACGUGCCAGCAGCCGCGGUAAUACGUAGGGUCCGAGCGUUGUCCGGAAUUAUUGGGCGUAAAGGGCUCGUAGGCGGUCUGUCGCGUCGGGAGUGAAAACCAGGUGCUUAACACCUGGCCUGCUUCCGAUACGGGCAGACUAGAGGUACUCAGGGGAGAAUGGAAUUCCUGGUGUAGCGGUGAAAUGCGCAGAUAUCAGGAGGAACACCGGUGGCGAAGGCGGUUCUCUGGGAGUAUCCUGACGCUGAGGAGCGAAAGCGUGGGGAGCAAACAGA
rnacentral:rRNA from 1 species